rnacentral:lncRNA from 1 species
CGCCAUUGGUGUGCCUGAGCCUUUGUCUGUGUUCGUCGACUCCUACGGCACCGGCAAGAUCCCCGACAGGGAGAUCCUCAAGCUCGUGAAGGAGAACUUUGACUUCAGGCCCGGGAUGAUCAGCAUCAACCUGGACUUGAAGAAAGGUGGAAACAGGUUCAUCAAGACUGCUGCUUAUGGUCACUUUGGCCGCGAUGAUGCUGACUUCACCUGGGAGGUGGUGAAGCCCCUCAAGUUCGACAAGGCAUCUGCCUAAGAGCAUGGCAUUCUCUUGGUCUGCCGCCUCUCAAGUUCGUCAAGACGGGAUCAUGUUGCUCCUGGGAAGUGAGAAGAAGCAUUAGACAUUGAAGCGACGCUCUACACUGGUCUUGUUGUAUGGUAGUCAGUGCUAAGUUUCUUACUGUCAUUUCAUAUAUUUAUCCUUUCCAUUUUGAGUCGCUGAAACUGCUGAGUGAUGUGCAGUUUGCUCUGUUAGUCGCUCUGUCACUUUCACUUUUCAUAUUCUUUGUUGUGUAGUUCCCUCAUAAUGCUCUUUCUUCCUGAGUCUCGGAAAGAAUAAUAAAGAGCCAUGUGUAAUUCUAUUGCUCCGUUCUCCCCAAAUUUUGUCAUUAUUUUAAGCAGUACUAAUUGAGAUACUAUCCAAGGUUUUGAAUCAUGGUUUUGUCCAAUUGGUGUAAGCCCAACUUAAGCAAAAGUGGUUUCAUGAGAUCUGAACUGCGAAAAUAAUACUCCCUCCAUUCCUAAAUAUAGGGUGUAUAGUUUUUGGCACGGAAAUUAAAGAACACAUAUGGAGGGAAAAUUUCACAAGCUUUGGGCGACAUUACACAUGACUAAUUGACAUGAGAAAAUAGAGGAGCUUGCGUGAUAUAAGGAAAUGUAAACAAAUCCCUCAAAAAUUUAUCCAAACGAGUGGUGCAGUGCAAUACACCUUAUAUUUCGGAAUUUUUCUCAAAAAUCUAUACACCUUAUAUCAAGGAACGGAGGGAGUAUUGAUUCACUGGACUCUGUUCUUGGCCCACACUGGGGCUCAAGAAUCAUAUCAGCAUUGAUUGGGUUUGGUGUAAACUACAAGGAUGAUCGGGCGCGCUUCGCUGCAAGGUUGGUGUCGUUGAGAAUUCAUAAAUAAAAGUCUUUCGUUUGCUGUGUGGAGAUGAAGAAGUGUUUUUUUAGAACCGAAGUGUUUUUUGUUUAUAAUGAAGUAUUUUGAUGGUCUCUUUCUGGUGUAUAAUUAUGUGUUAUUUGCAAAUUAACCCACACAUAUGCAGGAAAGUUUUUUGCAGUGGUGUUACAGUGUCGCAUGUUGAUGCUAGACUGAUUUAUUUUCAUAAGCUGGUUGUUAUGAAUUGAUUUGAGAGAUCAUUGACCAAUCAAAAUCAUGAAUCAAAUUCAAAAUUAAAUACCUCACUUGAAUGAGGGAGCUUCUUGAGAAAUUGUUGACCAAGACAAAAUUGGGAACUCAAUCCAAAAUCAUAUUGGUGCUACAAAGAGUGUCUGCGAGGCUAAUGUAUUUUUAUACUUCUAAGGACCAUUUUUAUCUUGGUACUCAUACUAAAAUGGUUGUAUGCAUCCUUAGUUGGUGCAGAGGCCGGAAAGUGAAAAUCUCUCUCAUUUUCUAGGUCGAGGUAGACACAAGCCGCCCCACGCGUCGCCCCCACGGGCGACCCGAGGGGAACCCUAGCCGCCCUACCUCUUGGCCUCCUCCGCUUCCCCCCCCUCCUCGCUGUCGUCCGCAGCGCCGCCGGGCGAAGCCUGGCCGGCAGGGCGGCGGCUGGGCUUCUCCUCACCUCUUCCGUCACGGCUGGCGCGGGGCAACGAGAUCGGGAGGUGCAUCGGGCGAGCGCCGGGUCCAGCGGCGCGGCGGGCGGGUCUCCAGGCGAUGCCUGCACGGCGCGGUGACGACGGCAUGCUUGUGGUGAAGUGGUGGCUGCGUUGGAUUUGACCGGUGGUCGCAGGUGCCGCCGGAUCCAUAUCAGAUCCAUCUAGAUUCUGUCUUUGGAAUCGGUCGGCCGCCGCGAGGUGGUGGUGGUCGUCGUUGACCACGUCGGAUCGCUGGAUUCGGCGUCUGGAGUUCUACAUUGGGUUCUUCUCUGUCCUCCUUCCUGGUGGGCUGAACCCCAUGGCUCUUUCAUCUCUGCAGGUUUUGGUUCAUGGCAAUUGCCGGAUCCGGAGCAGACGGAGGUUUGGUGGUAUAGGAUGGGACCGGAGAAAACUUUGGUCGGCUUGUUCGACCCGGCAUCGACGACAUCACUCCAUGUUGUUAUCCUCCUUAGAGGCGAAGCCGAGGUCUGUCCUAUCCACUCCCGAAUCCCUCCAGGACGAAAGUCCAAAAUCCAGUGUGGAUUGGGCGGUGGCGGCGUCCUGCACGUCGUAUUCUCCAUGGAGGCGCCGUCUGGGGAGGACCUCGUAUUCAGAGGCGGGAUGCUGCGGGUGGUGGGGCUCCGCGUAGCUCUAGCAGUGCCGACGGUGUGGUGGUUACCAGGUGGUGCGACGUUGCAUCUACCGUGUUGAUGACGACGAGUUUUGGCGACAUGGUGCAUGUGAAUAUCGUCGACGGAUGCGGCUGGAUGGUCGAGCGCAGGGCGGUGACGCUGUUUGACGUCAUGGUGGCGUCGACUGCAGGCUAACAAGGUUUGCGUCAGUCCCUGCUAUGGAGAUGGAUCGUUGGAAGACGGCGGUGGCGGGUUCAGUGAGUGCGCCGGAUCGGUGUGUGACCCAGUCCCGGUAUGUGGCUAGGAUGGGGUAUCCGGCUUUAGAUGUUAGAUUUUAGUGUGACGUCUGUUUGGUAUUAGGCUCGGACAUUCGGCACCACUAAAUAAAGGCGAUAGAAGUAGCGACACAUGUUGCUAAGAUGGUGGCUCCAGGCUUACUAAUGCACUACAUUAUAAAGUCUUUGUGAAUAAUUAAUAAAAUGGCCGCAUGCAUUGUCCAGAUGCAGAGGCCGGUGGUUUACCGAUUGAUUUGAGAAAUCAUUGACCGGUCCAAAUCCUGAACUAAAUUUAAAAUUAAACACUUCAUUUGAAUGAGAGAACUUCUAAAAAUAUUAUUGACCAAGUCAAAAUUGGGAACCCAAUAAAAAACCAAUGUCCUCGAUUGAAUGGGAGGCCUUUAACCCUAGGAAGAUUGAUAUAGUAGAGUUUGUUCGGAAAACUAUUGAGUUGAUGCUUCCUACUAAUGGUUUUCCUAGAGAACGCUCUUUAGUACGUCUAAUUCUUGUGUGCAAAUCACUGACGCAUAUGUCAAUCCCUAUUAGCUUCAAUGCAUCAUUUUGAGCGUAUGACACUGAAUGUUUGUUCACGCCCCUGUCUUAUCCCUUAACCUCGCAUCAAAAUCACAGCCAGAUGAAAAAAUUUGCAUCGAAGCAUGGCAAUUUUCAAUAGUCUAUCUGAUAGUCCUUAUCGAAAAUCUGGCAUGACAAUGUGGUUCUGUCAGCAUGGCAAUUCCUGAAGACGUAGGCAAAAUUUAUUUUCAUAUAGCAUGGCAAUUCUCUUAUGGAGCAUUGCAAGCCUAUCUGAUAUAGCAUGAAAAUUCAUGAACAUGUGUGGCAAAUUUUCUUUUCUUUUUAGCCUGACAUUUUCUAUGUUGCACCAUGAUAAAUUGCUAAAACACACGUCAAUUUACUUUGCUGCAACAUGACAAAUUCCUAAUAAUUUUUUCUGCUAGCAUGGCAUUUUUUUUCCUUUUCAGCGUGGAAGAACUUUCUGUAAGUUAGAAGUGCACUUUCUCGUGAUGUUGUUUGCUCAAACGAGCCUCCUAUACAGAACGUUCGUUCGCUCAGAUGACCUCCUGAGAAAACAUCAAUGCAAUAUUGAUGUUCAUUUAAUUUGUCUUUUUAUAGCAAUCCUAGNNNNNNNNNNNNNNNNNNNNNNNNNNNNNNNNNNNNNNNNNNNNNNNNNNNNNNNNNNNNNNNNNNNNNNNNNNNNNNNNNNNNNNNNNNNNNNNNNNNNNNNNNNNNNNNNNNNNNNNNNNNNNNNNNNNNNNNNNNNNNNNNNNNNNNNNNNNNNNNNNNNNNNNNNNNNNNNNNNNNNNNNNNNNNNNNNNNNNNNNNNNNNNNNNNNNNNNNNNNNNNNNNNNNNNNNNNNNNNNNNNNNNNNNNNNNNNNNNNUCUAGGCGCUUGACGGAUACUCCUCAUAUCCGAAGGAGGACGGUGCUCCCUCCGCUGCCCCUCCCCCGCCAUCCCGCCCGCGAGGGCAAUCUAAGAUAAGAAAAUUUGCUCCGAGGGUCGUGGUCAUGUGGUGGCCUUGUCGGCGGCGGAUGUAGGGUGGCAUGUCGUGCGGCGGCGCAACCAUAGAUCUGGUCGGUGCGAAUGGCCGCUGGGUCUCUCUCCCCUCCUCCCUGAUCAGGUUUUGUUGUCGUCGAGCUCAUCGCCUUCCCCUUUGCCUGUGGUCUCGUCUUCAUCGCCUGUGCUGCCGUCGGGAUGACAGCCUGGGGCGCUGAGAUCUGGUGCCUCGUCCCCGCCCGUGGUUGGUAGGGCGGAGAUGGCGCUUGCGUCGGGUAGGGAAACCCUAGGGCCAGAUGCCUUGUCGAGGCUGGCCCUAGUGGUGGACCUGGUUACAGGCCGGGGGCCCAAUGGGUCGGUUAGUGCGUCGGAGCUAAGCUUGUCAUCUAAUUUAAUUCCCCCUUGAUCCCCUCUGGCUGGUUAAGUCGAGUGGGCCUCCUUUUGGGCUUGUUUGCCAGCCCACUGUCGGUGUCAAAAUCGGCAGAUCUCGUGUAGGGGGGCCCAAGCUGUGAGUCUAAGGAUCAAUGGUAACAAGGGACAAUGGGGACACGAUGUUUACCCAGGUUCGGGCCCUCUUAAAGGAGGUAAAACCAUACAUCUUGCUUGAUUGUAUUCAAUGAGUAUAGGGGUUACAAGAGUUGAUCUACCUCGAGAUCGUAAUGGCUAAAUGUAGGAUCUUGAAGUAUGUAUAGAGGGGGGGGGGUGAUUAGACUAUUUGACCAAUUAAAAACUUAACCUUUUCCCAAUUUUAGUCUUUGGCAGAUUUUAGCUAUCUUAGCACAAGUCAAGCAAUCUUCACACAAUUCAAGCAAGCAUGCAAAGAGUAUAUGAGCAGCGGAAAUUAAAGCAUGCAACUUGCAAGAAUGUAAAGGGAAGGGUUUGGAGAUUUCAAACGCAGUUUAGAGACAUGGUGAUUUUUGAGCCGUGGUUCCGAUAGGUGGUGCUAUCAUACAUCCACGUUGAUGGAGACUUCAACCCACGAAGGGUAACGGUUGCGCGAGUCCACGGAGGGCUCCACCCAAGAAGGGUCCACGAAGAAGCAACCUUGUCUAUCCCACCAUGUCCGUCGCCCAUGAAGGACUUGCCUCACUAGCGGUAGAUCUUCACGAAGUAGGCGAUCUCCUUGCCCUUACAAACUCCUUGGUUCAACUUCACAAUCUAGUCGGAGGCUCCGAAGUGACACCUAGCCAAUCUAGGAGAUACCACUCUCCAAGAAGUAACAAAUGGUGUGUUGAUGAUGAACUCCUUGCUCUUGUGCUUCAAAUGAUAGUCUCCUCAACACUCAACUCUCUCUCACAGGAUUUGGAUCUGGUGGAAAGAAUAUUUGAGUGGAAAGCAACUUGGGGAAGGCUAGAGAUCAAGAUUCAUAUGGUAGGAAUGGAAUAUCUUGGCCUCAACACAUGAGUAGGUUGUUCUCUCUCAGAAAUGGUAAGUUGGAAGUGUAGGUUUGUUCUGAUGGCUCUCUCCACGAAUGAAGAGGAGGUGGAGGGGUAUAUAUAGCCUCCACACAAAAUCUAACCGUUACACACAAUUUACCAAUCUCGGUGGGACCGAAUCAACAAACUCGGUCGGACCGAUUUAGUAAACCUAGUGACCGUUAGUGAUUUUGAUGGGACCGACAUGCAACUCGGUAGGACCGAUAUGGUUAGGGUUAGGGCAUAACUUAAUCUCGGUGAGACCGAUUACACAAACUCGGUGGGACCGAUUUUGGUAAUAAGCUAACAAGAGAAUUGGUCACGUAAACUCGGUGGGACCGAUUUGCUCUUUUCGGUGGGACUGAAAUGUUAUAAAAAGGAAACAGAGAGUUUACAUUGCAAUCUCGGUGGGACCGAUCGCUCACUUCGGUUAGACCGAAACGUUACGAAGGGAAACAUAGAGAUUACAAUCCCAUCUCGGUGAGACCGAGAUCCCUAUCGGUGAGACCGAUUUGCCUAGGGUUUGUGGCAGUGGCUAUGACAUCUGAACUCGAUGGCGCCGGAUAGAAAGAAUCGGUGGGGCCGAGUUUGACUUUAGGUUUGGGUCAUAUGUGGAUAUGAGAAAGUAGUUGAGGGUUUUUUGGAGCAUAUCACUAAGCACUUAAAGCAAGAAACUCAUCAAGCAACACCUCAUCCCUCCUUGAUAGUAUCGGCUUUUCCUAUAGACUCAAUGUGAUCUUGGAUCACUAAAAUAUAAAAUGUAGAGUCUUGAGAUUUUGAGCUUGAGCCAAUCCUUUUAUCCUUGGUAUUUUGAGGGAUCCACUUUCCUCAUCCAUGCCAUGCCAUUCAUUGAGCUUUUCCUGAAAUAUUUGCCUUAGAAUAGUAUUAGCUCAAUGAGCUACAUGUUGUUAGGAAUUACCAAAACCACCUAGGGAUAGUUGCACUUUCAAUCUCCCCCUUUUUGGUAAUUGAUGACAACAUAUAGAUCAAAGCUUUGACAAAUGAUAAUAAGAUUGAAAAACAUCGUCGCUUUGAGAAGUAUGUGAUAAGCAAGAGCUCCCCCUAAAUUUGUGCAUAGUUUAAGAUUUGCUUUGGAGUGCAAAUGCACAAGGAGUUAGGCUCAUGGGUUACUCUUCCAUGUCACAUACAUCUUGGUGGAGCGCUCAAAAUAAUAAAGAUUGAAUACAUGCACUCAUCACCAAGCAAAGUGAAUGAUCAUAUAAAGAUAAAUGGGAUAAUGUCAUCUAACAAUCAUAAAUGUAGCACAUGAUCAAACACAUGAUUAUUAUUGUAUCACAUAGACAAUAACGUAGUAUCUCAAGCAAGCAAAAGCAAAUAAAGUUCAACCACGAAGACAAGAGAGAACAAAAGCAAACUCUCUCUCUUGAAGCCUAUGAUCUAUACAUUUUUCUCCCCCUUUGGCAACAAGUUACCAAAAAGUUCCUAGAAAAUGCAUAGUACUAUUUCGUCUCUCAGGCUUGAUCUUCAGGUGGUGGUGUAGAGAUGGCUCCUUGGACGAAGACUUCAGUUGAUGUGGAUAGAUCUGGAGGAGUUGGUGCUGGAGCUGGUUACACUGGAGCUAUAGCUGGUGCAGAUGAAGUGGCUCUGGUGUCUGUCACAAGCUCUGCAACUGAUCUCUGAGCUCGAGGCACUCUAGGAAAUGCAUCAGUGGUUGUCCUGCCCUUCCUCUCAUGCAUGUCAUCCUGUAGCUGCUCCACAAUUGACUGGAUCUCAGUUACUUUCACAUCUAGGUCAUAGAACUUUUGUUCCAUGAUUCUUUCCAGGCUCUCCUGGUUUUGAGUUAGGGUGGCCAACCCUUUCUCAAUCCUCAGAGUUGAUGCUAUUAAGUAACCAAGCUAGUCUUGCUUGCUCUUCAAAAAGUACUCAGAUGCCUCCUCUAAAGUUGGCAUCUUGGCAGCCUUCUCCUUCUUUGCCUUCUCCUUCUUCUCUUGAGCUUGCACUGAGGAUGGUUCAUUCUCAUUCAUGACAACUUGAUUGUCCUCAAAAUCUGGAUAGAUAGUAAAGUGUUCCUUAUCCAACAAGUAUUUUCCUGUGCCCAUCUUGGAGUUGAUCAGCUCCUAGAUUUGUGGGGCAUACCCACAACUUCUCUUCUGGUCUGCUGCUGUACUCUUGAUAGUCUCAACUAUGAGGCUCAUGACCUUGAAUUUCUGUGACACAUCAAAUAUGUGUAGCAAAUUUAUUGCAUGCCCUCUUAUCAUGUUGUGGUCACCUGACUUGGGCAAGAGAGUGUGCCUUAGGAUCCAGUUGAUCGUUGGCAGCCCUGACAGAAGAAAAUGGACAGACCCAAACUUGAAAGUCUCAAGUGCCUUGUCUGGGAUAUCCUUGUACAUGUGUGACAUAGAUUUGUGAUCCUUCUUCUUCUUGGAGUAGACAUCCAAGUCAUCUUCACUCUCCUCUGGUGCAUUGAUCUGUUCAGCCCAUUCUUCAAUAGUGGAUUGGUACCUUGUACCUUCAGACAUCCAGACUAUUCUGCCAUCAGGAUAAAAGUGAGUUGUGGAGUAGAAUUGCAUUACUAGCUCAUCAUUCCAGUUUGUGAACUUCUGUCCAGCAAACUCAUCAACUCCACAAGCCUUAAAACUGUCAAACACUCUUGGGUAGUGAUCCUCAUUUUCCUUCAUGUAUUUCCAGUCUACCCACCUCAUGUCACAAACUAUGGGCUUCUUAUCCAACAACACAGUCUCAUAAAAAUCCUGUUGUUCCUUAGUGUGGAACCUGUAAUCAACAGCAGUCCUCCUUCUGAUUGCAUAGGGAUCAGACAAUCUCCACUGCCUGAGCCCUGCAUCCUUCCUCAGCUUCAUGUUCUCAGCCACUGGAUGAGCAUCAUUGUGGUCUAGAGUCUUGGGUUUCAGCUUCCUCAGAACUUGUCCUUCAUCUUCUUCCUCAGCAGCAACUUCAGGCACUGGGGCCUUGUUCUUCUCGGCAGCUGGUAUGCUCCUGGUAUUCCUUUUAGGUGCAGACUUGGCCUUAGAGGUAGCUUUGGGUGCUUCUUUGGGCUUUGAUGUUGCAGCCCCUGACCUUAUAGCAUCACCCAUAAGCUUUUGUGCCUUGGGUGCUGGUGCAGGUGCAGCAACCUCUUCUUCCUCCUCCUCUUCCAUCAUGGAAGGUUGUCCAACAACUCUGGCCAUGGUCUUCUUGACCCUUUCCUUCCUCUUCUUUCCUUCUGCAGCAACCUCUUUGGGAUCAAGUUUCUCAGGUUCUUGAGUUGAUCCUCUAACCUUCAGCAUAGGUGUCCUCUUGGCAGGGACCUUCCUGUUUAGUCCAGGCUUUGUGGUCUUAGCUAAGCCAUACUCCUUUUUGAGCACUAUCUUCUUGGAAGUAGCCUCAUCUUCAGGUGCCACAUAUUCUUCAUCCUCAGAGUCGGAGGUUCUCUUCCUUCUGGUCCUUGUGGCUGCUUUGGGCAAAUUGCUAGGAGUGCUCCUGCUGCCCUCAUCUGAGGUGCUAGAGGGACUAGUGCCCUCACUCAUGUGAAUCUGCUCCUCUUCCCUGUUCUGGCUGUCACUUUGGUCUGACAUGCUGCAAACACUGACUGCUGACCCUGUGAAUAGAUGUAGUUGAGAUAGAAUGGAUGAGCAUCACAAAAUGCAGAGGUUUUUGCAAAAGAGUGAUUCAAAAACUUAGUUUUAGUUUUCCACAGAAAGCAUUUCAGAUCAACCGAUUUGCAAAAUCGGUGAUACCGAAGCAGCUUUUGGAACCUAAACUAGUGAACUCAGUCAAACUGAGUCACAGUUCCGUGGCACCGAGACUGCUAGGGUUUUACAGAGUUCUAAAAUCGGUCACACCGAUUCGCAAUUCUUGGUCAGACCGAGAAUCACUUAUGCAAUGGCCUCAGUCGAAUUGGUGGAACCGAGUUUUUCAACUCGGUGGGUCCGAGAUGGUUUCGGCGGAAACCUAACCCUAAUUUUUCAAUUCACAUCUAAUCUAAGGAUUGUUUUGACUAGAUAGAUGCGUUUCAAUCGCGUCAAGAAUUAUAAUGAACACAAUGUGCUAGGAAUCGGACGGGGAUAGCACUGUGAUCGAGUCCAUACCCUAGUUUGGCAAUGAACUCACUAUGGCGGCAACGGCGGGGAUGAAUUCCGUUGAUGGCGGCGGAGACAGCGACUGGAGGCGGCUGGCGACGAAGUCGACAAUCCGGAGACCUUGGAGGCAGAGCGAGCUAUGCGCGGGCGAAGAGGUUUGGAGAAGGUUUCCAAAUUUUUGCCCGUGAGUAUAUAUAGCCCGACCCUAUCGGUGUGACCGAGUGGAACAACUCGGUGGCACCGAGAUGCAUAACUGUUGACAGUUACAGCAACUCGGUGAGACCGAAAAGUUCAAAUCGGUUGCACCGAGAUUGAAAACCUAGAUCGACUUAGUGAUCUCGGUAUGACCAAAAUGGAAGAAUUGGUCAGACCGAAACACACAAAGAAGUUUUGGAAGUUUAAGUCCAUGACGAAUCGGGGACUCCGAGUGCUCCUCACACAGAGUGGUUUGAAUCUGACUUGAUCAAAUUUUGUGAUGUAGCAUGAAUAGAGUUUGAGACAAGAAAAGCAUAGAUAGCUAGAGAAGGUUCUUAGGCAUUCUUGUUCAUCCACUUGGCAAAAGAAAAAGAAGCCAAUCAAUCAAAGCAACAAGUGGAUGUCCUCGAAUGAGUUAAAUAUGCAACCAAAAUGCUCACACAAUAAAAUGGCAAAUGAAAUAUGUGGCAAAGCAUGCACAACCAAUUCUAGCAUCUAUCAAGCAAUUGGGGAUGACUAGGUCAUCUAUAUAUGAGUAUAUUGACUUAGGAGUCAAAUGAGAACAUUUGAUCAUAGGUCAUACUCAUCGUUUAAGCUCAAGUGGGGUUACCACUUUUACAUAAUGCAUUGAUGUGUUCACAUCAUUAGAGUUGCUUUGACUCAAUUCUUAGAGUUAAGCUCCCCCUAGAUGUGAGAUCCCCCCUAAGAGGGAUGAACUAACCUUGGGUUUUGUCGAUGAUGACUUCAUGUAGGUGUUGAAGAUGUGGAUGCUCAAUGUUGGUGAAGAUCAUUUGGAGCAAUCCUUUGGAGUGAGUUGCACUUUCAAUACCUACACGGGUUAGUCCCACAAGGAACAAACAAGUAUAUCCAUACACAUAGAGUGAUGCACACACAAGAUGAUGUCCAUGAAAACAUUAGGUUACCUUGUCCCUUGUCUUACCAACAAGAGGGUUUGUGACUCCUUGAACUAGUGCAAGAUGUCGAAGUUGAUUGCACUUGUCCUUGCCAUAAUGAUAUGAGUGAAGAAUGUUGGCGGAGUCACCCUCAAGAACUCUCUAGUUCUUCUUCUUCGGGAUCCACAUCAUCUUGAUGGGAAUCCUUGGAGUUGUAGUCGUGCUUGAUGAAGUAGAACUUGACGUAGUCUUGGGAACCCACUUGACCAAGGUCUUAGGAGCUUCUUCAAAUGCAUCAAUCUCCUCUUGAAGCUUGUCCUUGCCUUUGUGCUUGUGGUCUUGUGGUGGAAGAUCAUCUUGAGCAUGUGUCCCCUUGAAGGAAGUAGGAUCAUACUUCCCUUGUUGAGGAACAAACUUCGUCUUGGGAUAUUGAUCUUAUUCCCACUCAACUCCAUUGGCAUUGAACUUUCGUUCAAAACCAACACCUUGGUUCUUACGGUGCCUUCCUUGCUUGUGUACAAUUUCCUCGAAUUGCUUACUCCCGGCAAGGCUCUUGUAUACACCUUUCUCUAUAAUUCCCUUCAAUAAGCUAUUUUCUUGCUCAAGUGUAACUUGGCUAAGAGAAUCAUUAGUGGAAUCAAAAUCAAGAGAACUACUAGAAGCAACAAUAUUGGAUUUAGCAUGAUUAUUGUUACUACUAGAGGAAGAAUCCUUCUUGUUCUUGUUAUUAGACUUGACUUGAGGCAUGUAAGUAGAUAAGAGUAAACGCUUGGCAAUGUAAGAAGAACUUUUGUUACGGAGAUCAUCAUUGAUUGCCUUUAAGAACUCAUGCUCUUGCUCAAGGUUGAGCUUUUCAAAGCGUAGCUUCUCAUGAGCCCUUAAAAGUUCUCGAUGAUCUUCUAAGAUAGUUUCUUUAGCUAACUUAAGAGUGUUUAGUUCUUUAGCUAGAAGCUCAAUCUUCUCCUUAUCAUUGUCAUUCGUUUUAUCUUGUUUAGCAUGAUUAAUUGACGUUUCAUCAUAGUAUUCAUCACUAGAGUUGUCAACAAGUAAAUCAUCAUCACCUAACAAGUCAUCUUCAUCAGUAUUGAAAUCAACAUACUUGGGGUGUGUUACCUUAGGGCCUUUAGCCAUGAAGCAUCUUCCAAGUCCUUCAUUUGGUGAAUCAAAUAUGCCGUAGGAGUUGGUUAACACAAGUGCUAGACCAGCAACACCUUCAUCUUGAGUAUGUUCGGAGUCGGAGUGAUAGCUUCUCUCGGAGUGAUGUUCAGAGUCAGAACCGGAUACCCAUUCACCAACAUGAGCUUGAUGUCUUCAUUUUGUGUAGCUCUUUGAUGACUUGUCCUUCCUUUCCGAAUCCUUGCUUCUCCGGGAUGUUCUUCGUUCAUAACGAUCAUCUCUACUCCUCCUCUCUAUUGGCGGUGAUUCUUCUCUUCUACUUCUUCUCUUGGGAGAAUCUUCUCUUCUUUUGUAGGGUGUCGUACACUCAUUGGAAUAGUGUUCGAGUCUCCCACAAUUGUAGCAAUUGUGCUCUCGACUGGAAGAUCUUUUGUCAUUGUAGGACCUUGACUUGGAGCUUCUUUCUUUGCUUCUACUCUUGUAGAAUUUGUUGAAGUUCUUCACCAUUAAGCUCAAUUCUUCAUUGAAGGUUUGUUUCUCACUUGAUGAUGUGGGAGCUUCACAUAAGGCUUUGUAAGCACCACUUGACUUGUUAUGAAGUCCCUCCUUAUCCUUGAGUGACAUCUCAUGAGCAACAAUUCUUCCAGUGACUUCCGUUGGCUUGAGAUUCUUGUAGUUGGGCAUCAUUUGGAUCAAUGUGCACAUGGUAUCAUAUUUUCCAUCCAAUGCUCUUAGGAUCUUCUUGAUGAUGAAUCUGUUGGUCAUCUCUUCACUUCCUAAGCCUGCAAUCUCAUUUGUGAUAAGAGCAAGCCUAGAGUACAUUUCAGCGACACCUUCACCAUCAUUCAUUUUGAACUUGUCAAGUUGACUUUGGAGCACAUACAAUUUGGAUUCCUUGACGGAGUCGGUACCUUCAUGCAUAUCAAUCAAAGUAUCCCAGAUUUCCUUUGCAUUCUCAAUACGGCUGAUUUUGUUGAAUUCUUCGGGGCACAAUCUGUUGAAGAGGAUAUCACAAGCUUGAGCAUUGUAUUGCAGCAUCUUCAAUUCAUCUGCGCUAGCUUCAUGGUUCGGUUCUCUCCCAUCGAAGAAUUCACCUUGGAAGCCAAUACACACAAUAGCCCAAACGACGGGGUUAUGUCCGAGAAUAUGCAUUUUCAUCUUAUGCUUCCAACUAGACAAAUUAGUACCAUCAAAGUAAGGACCUCUACGGAGAUAAUUUCCCUCGCUACACGCCAUACUCUCCUAGGUUGUGAAACCAAGGCUAUGACCACCAAAAUCUAUGGAAAUCAAAGCAAAUGGAGACCAAGGCUCUGAUACCACUUGUAGGAUCUUGAAGUAUGUCUAGAGGGGGGGUGUGACUAGACUACUUGGCCAAUUAAAAACUUAACCUUUUCCCAAUUUUAGUCUUUGGCAGAUUUUAGCUAUCUUAUCACAAGUCAAGCAAUCUUCACACAAUUCAAGCAAGCAUGCAAAGAGUAUAUGAGCAGCGGAAAUUAAAGGAUGCAACUUGCAAGAAUGUAAUGGGAAGGGUUUGGAGAUUUCAAACGCAAUUUGGAGACACGGUGAUUUUUGAGCCGUGGUUCCGAUAGGUGGUGCUAUCGUACAUCCACGUUGAUGGAGACUUCAACCCACGAAGGGUAAUGGUUGCGCGAGUCCACGGAGGGCUCCACACAAGAAGGGUCCACGAAGAAGCAACCUUGUCUAUCCCACCAUGGCCGUCGCCCACGAAGGACUUGCCUCACUAGCGGUAGAUCUUCACAAAGUAGGUGAUCUCCUUGCCCUUACAAACUCCUUGGUUCAACUCCACAAUCUUGUCGGAGGCUCCCAAGUGAUGCCUAGCCAAUCUAGGAGACACCACUCUCCAAGAAAUAACAAAUGGUGUGUUGAUGAUGAACUCCUUGCUCUUGUGCUUCAAAUGAUAGUCUCCCCAACACUCAACUCUCUCUCACAGGAUUUGGAUCUGGUGGAAAGAAGAUUUGAGUGGAAAGCAACUUGGGGUAGGCUAGAGAUCAAGAUUCAUAUGGUUGGAAUGGAAUAUCUUGGCCUCAACACAUGAGUAUGUGGUUCUCUCUCAGAAAUGGUAAGUUGGAAGUGUAGGUUUGUUCUGAUGGCUCUCUCCACAAAUGAAGAGGAGAUGGAGGGGUAUAUAUAGCCUCCACACAAAAUCUAACCGUUACACACAAUUUACCAAUCUCGGUGGGACCGAAUUAACAAACUUGGUCGGACCGAUUUAGUAAACCUAGUGACCGUUAGUGAUUUCGGUGGGACCGACAUGCAACUCGGUAGGACCGAUAUGGUUAGGGUUAGGGCAUAUCGUAAUCUCGGUGAGACCGAUUACACAAACUCGGUGGGACCGAUUUUGGUAAUAAGCUAACCAGAGAGUUGGUCAUCGCUCUUUUCAGUGGGACCGAAAUGUUACAAAAAGGAAACAGAGUGUUUACAUUGCAAUCUCGGUGGGACCGAUCGCUCACUUUGGUUAGACCGAAAUAUUACGAAGGGAAACAGAGAGAUUGCAAUCCCAUCUUGGUGAGACCGAGAUCCCUAUCGGUGAGACUGAUUUGCCUAGGGUUUGUGGCAGUGGCUAUGACAUCUGAACUCGGUGGCGCCGGAUAAAAAGAAUUGGUGGGGCCGAGUUUGACUUUAGGUUUGAGUCAUAUGUGGAUAUGAGAAAGUAGUUGAGGGUUUUUUGGAGCAUAUCACUAAGCACUUGAAGCAAGAAACUCAUCAAGCAACACCUCAUCCCUCCUUGAUAGCAUUGGCUUUUCCUAUAGACUCAAUGUGAUCUUGGAUCACUAAAAUAUAAAAUGUAGAGUCUUGAGCUUUUGAGCUUGAGCCAAUCCUUUUAUCCUUGGUAUUUUGAGGGAUCCACUUUCCUCAUCCAUGCCAUGCCAUUCAUUGAGCUUUUCCUGAAAUAUUUGUCUUGGAAUAGUAUUAGCUCAAUGAGCUAUAUGUUGUUAGGAAUUACCAAAACCACCUAGGGAUAGUUGCACUUUCACUAAACCCUACCUAUCUAGCCUAUGAUUUUUCGGAUAGCCUCUACGGACUAAACCCUCCGGUUUAAAUACACACCGGAGGGACCUAGGGUUGUACAGAGUCGGUUUACAAGUGAAGGAAAUAGUACAUCCGGACACCAAUCUUGCCGUCCACGCAUAUAGGAGUCCUACCCGGACAUGGGGCAUGAUCUUCUGCUUUAUCUUCACACCCCAUCAGUCCGGCCCAUAUGCAAUUGCACCAGCAGAAUGAGGUAUACUGGAGACAACGCGACACUAUUAUCUGGACCUUGAAGGGCUACUCUCUAUCUACUUAUUUCUUUGCCAUUGCCAAUUGUCGUUGUCGUAGAUGUUUGAUUGAUAGUUUGGUUAUUGAUGGUGUUAGGGUGGUUAACCCUCACAUCAUCAUGGAGCAUGUGUUUAAUUUCUUUUCUAGCUUGUUGACUGCUAGGCCGGCUUUUGGUUCUAUUAUCUUCCCAACUUCUAGCACCAAGAUAGGAGGGUUUCAGACAAGGAGAAUGUGGCCCUAUCGGUUCCCCUAUUUGUGGAAGAAAUUGAGAUGGCCAUUAACUCUGCCAACAAGAACUCGACUUCUGCCCCGGAUGGAUUCUCCAUCCCCUUCUUCAGAUGGUUUGGGCCUAUCUUGCGCCCUUUGGUCUAUACUAUUAUCCAAGGUUUUUUUGCUUAGGCACUAUGGACAUCUCUUGCCUUAACUAUGCCAUUAUGUCCCUCUUCACCAAGGUCAAGGGUGCUGAUUCUAUCUCUAACUUUCGCCCCAUUACCCUGAUUAACAACUUUGCUAAAUUCCCUGCUAAAUGGUUGGCAACAAGGAGGACAUCUGUUGCUCACUGUACCGUUAGUCAUACUCAGCCAGCCUUCAUUAAAGAGAGGCAUAUUCUGGAGGGUAUUCUUUGCUUGCACAAAUUUUUCCAUGAUAUUAGAAUGCGUGGCACUCGGGCAAUUAUCCUAAAACUAUAUUUUGAAAAGGCUCAUGACUUGGUGAGUUGGGAUUUUCUUCGGCAAGUGUUGCAUGCCAAGGGGUUCGAAUCUGGCUUCGUGCAUAGACUGAUGCAACUAGUGUCUGGGGACACACGACAGUGGCAGUUAAUGGUUCGAUCAUCAAAUACUUUGUCAAUGGUAGGGGCCUACGACAAGGUGAUCCCGUAUCCCCUAUUCUUUUCAACUUCCUGGCUGACGUGUUGUCCUGUUUGUUGGACCGGGCGGCCUCGGCUGGGUAUAUCACUCCUGUCAUCUCCCAUUUACUUCCUCACGGCAUGACUCACCUCCAGUAUGCUGAUGAUGUUAUCAUUUUAGUGGAACUCAAUGACACUUGCCUUACCAAUCUAAGUUCAUUUUCCUAUGCUUCGAAGCUUUGUUGGGGCUAAAAAUCAACUUCUCUAAAAGUGAGGUCAUUGUAACUGGGGUCGAGGACAAUGAGGCUCUACGGGUGUCCCGGCUUCUUAACUGUUCUCUUGGGUCCUUUCCUUUCAAGUACCUAGGGCUCACUAUCUCCCCUUUCCACCUCUGUGCUAAGGAAUUUAAACCUCUGGUUUCUAAGGUGGGUAAUACAGUCAUGCCUUGGCGCGGUAGAUACAACACCUCUGCUGGGAAAGUUUGUCUUAUUAAUGCUUGCCUUUCUUCCCUUCCUAUGUUUACCAUGGGCUUUUAUAGACUGUCUAAGGGUACUCAUGGGUUUUGAUAAGCAUAGGGGUGCUUUUUACUGGAAUUCUGCGGAUAACAAGCGUAAGUAUAGAUUUGUUAAGUGGGCUAUUAUAUGCAGACCUAAAAGCCUUGGGGGGCUUGGGAUUCUUAAUACUUCCAUCAUGAACACGUGUCUCUUUCUAAAUGGUGGUGGAAGAUUAUGAAUGAUACCCCCGACACCAUUUGGUUUGAUCUCCUAAAAUCUAAGUACUUCCCUAAUGGCAGUCCCAUGUUUUCUUCGGCGAAUCAUGGCUCACAAUUUUGGAAGGACCUUGUUAGGGUGAGCGAUGUUUUCGGGAGCAAGUUAAUUUUGUGGUAAAUAAUGGUGUCUCCACUUGUUUUUGGUUGGAUUGGUGGACUAGUGAGUCCACCCUUGCUUCUGCUUUCCCUACCUUGUUCUCCUGUUUGCCUUCUCCUGAGAUUUCAAUCUCUGAGCUCUCCUAGAAUAACUGGGACUUGGGUUUCCGAAUGUCCCUUUUUCCUGAAGAACUAGGGGACUGACAUCGCCUUGUUUCUAUGUUCCCAAUCCUCUUGGAUGAGGAGGGCUCGGUUCCCUGGCCCCAUGCCGCGUCUGGAAAGUUUUCCCUUAAUUCUCUGUAUACUAGAAUUAUUGAUGGUACCCCUACUUCCAUGUUCAAACCCAUUUGGGCUGCCAGGAUCCCUCCCAAGAUCAAGAUUUUUCUCUGGCAGGCCACUAGGGGUUGGCUGCCCUCUACAGAUCAGAUUCAGAAAAGGAACAACCCUGGCUCGGACGCUUGUGCUUUAUGCACUGCGCAUGAGGACACUAACCAUAUCUUCUUUCGUUGUACCCUGGCCAAGCUAAUGUGGGGUUGUGUUCGAUCGUGGUUGCAAACCUCUUGGGCCCCCACUUCGUUCUCAGAUGUUCGCUAGUUAACUUCUAACCUUCAGGGGUGCUCUAAGAGGAUAUUUUGGGUCGGAUUGGGUGCUCUUUGCUAGUCGCUAUAGACUACCAGAAAUAAAUUCACCAUUGAGGGUGUGUUUCCUAACAAACAUGCUGAUGUCCUAUUUAAAAUGUCUAUUAUCUUGCAGCAGUGGAAAUUACUGACUAAGCCUGUGGACUGGGACGGGUGGGAGGUGCUGAUCAACAAAGUUCGAGCGUCUACCAAUCUACUAUCUUCUCCUCCCGCCGCAACGUCUUUGUAGUUUGAUGAAUCUAUCCUUAAGCAGUAGGUGGUUGGCCUGCGUGCCUUUGUAUUUGUCAUUUGGGAUUGCGCUCUGCUGAACUAUGGUCUCUGUACUAUGUGGUGGUUGGCCCUGUCUGUUUUGGGUAAACUGUUUGAUUGUUGUUGGAUGGUUGUUACUCUACCGUGUGGCUUUAUUUAUAAAGUCGGGCGUAUGCCUAUUCUCUAAAAAACAAUGCACAAUCGGUGGUAAAAUCUAAUAUAAUCUAGUCAUUUCAAAAAACAAGAAACAAAAAUAAUCUAGUCACUUCAGCAAGCGUGUUUGGAUCAGUGCAAAAUUCAAAUAAUGCAUAAUCCUAAACAAUCCAGUCCGCAAAUCAGGAGAAGCAACAAACCAAAAAAAAUCCAGUCUGCAAAGAGAGAUGCAUUGUACUUACAACACCGCCGGAGGUGGAGCAGGAGCAGACGAAGGAACAUCAAAUUGACCUCGCGCCUAUCACAGUCGAAAUCAGAGUCACAACAAGCAAAGUUUUGGCCGCCUUAGUCGAGGUACCAUUCGAAGGAACAUCAAAUUGGGUCGGAGCAAGGGAAGAAAACCCUCGCGAUGAAGUCAAAAUUCCUGCCGUGGGCACGGUCGUUGUGCCGGCACUCACAAUUCUCAUCCACACUGUCGUAGCAAUUGAAGUACUUAUCACCACUGGCAUGCCUACGAAUGUCGAUGAGCGGUCGUUAGUUGCCGACCGCGACCUUGUGCAAAAGAGGGAAGGGGCCUUCAGAGCCCUCACCAAUGGAAGAGGGUCCACACCCCCUUCUCGGCUCAAGUCAUCGAACCAAUGUGACAGAUUGUUGGGAACAGGGGUAUCCCUAAUUUUACGUAAAUGGGAUUCAUUGGAAAAACCAAAUCAGACUAAAACUUGGAAAAAGGUUCAUUUACUAUUGACUAUUAUUUCCCACCCGAAGACAUGCAUUGAUACAUGGCUACUAUGACAACACCAGUCACAAAGGAUCGCCGGGGAAGCAAAUGAUGACAUUAGUGACAGAAUCUGGGGCUGGAGCCCCAAGCAGCCAACACACCUAUAGCAAGGGAUGGUGGCCCUUGCGUAGCACUCCAUCAACCGAGCAUUUAAUGCCCGCCCAGGAUGUACCUCAUAGCCCGUCCUCGGCCUACGAAAAUAUGCCAUCAUGACGAAGACCAGAAUGGACGGGCGUCUCAGCACUUGACACUACUAGUGUCUGGUCAUCUAUUGACAAAACCAACGACAAGUUGCAUGCAACACUUAAAACUUUGUGCACCCAUUCACACACAAUUAGGUGACCAUUGUGGUGCCCCUAGACCUAUAUAAGGGGAGGACCAGGUCAUUUAUAGGGAGAGAAGACACAACACAACCAUCAUAGAGCUCAUCAUCAUACACCACCCAAGGAGAAUACCAAGUAGUAGCCUCGUCCCAGAGAAGGCAAGAGGGUUAGAGUUAGGAGUGCUCAGGUACUCUAGCUAGGACCCCAACCAUCAAUGGUCGCACCCUGACCACCAUCUUUGUAACACUCUAGCACUUGUAGUCCUUGUUGGGAAAUGUUGCAUGGAAAACAAAAACAAUUCUACACACAUGCAAGGUCUAUCCCUGGAGAUGCAUAGCACCGAGAGGGGAGAGUGUGUCUACGUACCCUCGUAGACCGUAAGCGGAAGUAUUUAACAACACGGUUGAUGUAGUCGAACUUCUUCACACUCCAACUGAUCAAGUACCGAACAUACGACACCUCCGCGUUCUGCACACGUUCAGCUCGGUGAUGUCCUCCACCUUCUUGAUCCAGCAAGACGGCAAGGUAGUAGAUGAGUUCUGGCAACACGAUGGCGUCGUGACGAUUAUGGUGAUGCCAUCUCCGUUGGGCUUUGCCUAAGCACUACGAUAAUAUGACCGAGGGAGUAAACGAUGGAUGGGGGCGCCGCACACGGCUAAGACAAUGUUGUAUACUUGUGUGGCGCCCCCUCCCCAUGUAUAUAUAGGUGGGAGGGGAGGAGGCAGCCCCUGGGGCGCCCCAAGAGACCUGGCGGCAGCCCUAGGGCUGCUGCCUUGCCCUGUGCCCCCUUGGAGUGUGGGAGGAAGGCAGGGGAGGGUGGCGCCCCCUUCCUUUCUCACAUGAGGAGGGAAAGGCAGGAGGGGCCACCCUCCCCUUUCCUUCCCCAUAGGGCCGGCCAGCCAUGGGAGGGGCGCACCAGCCCCCUUGUGGGCUGGUCUGUCCCCUCCUUUGGCCCAUAAGGCCCAUAUCUUCUCGGGAGGUGCCCGGAACCCCUUUCGCUGACCUGAUUUCUUCCCGGUACGUCCCGAAACACUUCCGGUGUCGAAACACCAUCGUCCUAUAUACAAAUCUUUACCUGUCGACCAUUUCGAGACUCCUCGUCAUGUCCUUGAUCUCAUCUGGGACUCCGAACAACAUUCGGUCACCAAAUCAUAUAACUCAUAUAACACUAUGUCGUCAACGAACGUUAAGCGUGUGGACCCUAUGGGUUCAAGAACUAUGUAGACAUGACCGAGACACCACUCUGGUCAAUAAUCAAUAGCGAAACCUGGAUGCCCAUAUUGGCUCCUACAUAUUCUACUAGGUGUUGGGGAACGCAGUAAUUUCAAAAAAAAAUUAUGAUCAUGCAAAAUCUAUCUUGGUGAUGCAUAGCAACGAGAUGGGAGAGUGUGUCCACGCACCCUCGUAGAACAAAAGCAGAAGCGUUUGAAUAACGCGGUUGAUGUAGUUGAAGUUCUUCGCGAUCCAACCAAUCAAGUACCAAACACCGACACCUGCACGUUCAGCACACAUUCAGCUCGAUGACGUCCCUCGUGCUCUUGAUCCAGCUGAGGACGAGGGUGAGUUCUGUCGGCACGAUAGCGUGGUGACGGUGAUGAUGAUGCUACCGGCUCAGGGCUUUACCUAAGCACUACGAUGGUAUGAUCGAGGUGUGUAACUUUGGAGGGGGGCACCACACACGGUUGGGAGAGAAACUUGUGUGUUCUCGGGUGCCCCUGCUCCCGUAUAUAAAGGAUCAAGGGGGAGGCCAGCCGGCCCCUAGGGCGCGCCCCAAGAGGGGAGUCCUACUAGGACUACUAGUCCUAGUAGGAUUCCACCAAGAGGGAGAGAGGGGGAAGGAAGGAGAGGGAGAGGGAAUAGGAAAGGGGGGCGCCAACCCCCUUCCCUAGUCCAAUUCGGACCCAAGGGGGAGGGGGCGGGCGGCCUGCCCUGGCCGCCCAUGUCUCUCUCCACCAAGGCCCAUGUGUCCCAUUCGUUCCCCGGGGUUCCGGUAACCCCUCCGGCAGUCCGAUUUUACCCGAAACUUUCCGGAACACUUCUGAUGUCCGAAUAUAGCUGUCCAAUAUAUCAAUCUUUAUGUCUCGACCAUUUCAAGACUCCUCGUCACGUCUGUGAUCUCAUUCGGGACUCCAAACAAACUUCGGUCAUCAAAAACACAUAACUCAUAAUACAUAUCAUCACCGAAUGUUAAGCGUGCGGACCCUACGGGUUCGAGAACUAUGUAGACAUGACCGAGACUCAUCUCCGUUCAAUAACGAAUAGCGGAACCUGGAUGCUCAUAUUGGCUCCCAGAUAUUCUACGAAGAUCUUUAUCGGUUAAACCGCAUAACAACAUACGUUGUUCCCUUUAUCAUUGGUAUGUUAGUUGCCCGAGAUUCGAUCAUCGGUAUCAUCAUACCUAGUUCAAUCUCGUCACCGGCAAGUCUCUUUACUCGUUCCGUAAUACUUCAUCACGCAACUAACUCAUUAGUCACACUGCUUGCAAGGCUUAUAGCGACGAGCAUUACCGAGAGGGCCUGGAGAUACCUCUCCGAAACACAGAGUGACAAAUCCUAAUCUCGAUCUAUGCCAACCGAACAAACACCUUCGGAGACACCUGUAGAGCACCUUUAUAAUCACCCUUUUACAUUGUGACGUUUGGUAGCACACAAAGUGUUCCUCUGGUAUUCGGGAGUUGCAUAAUCUCGUAGUCUGAGGAACAUGUAUAAGUCAUGAAGAAAGCAGUAGCAAUGAAACUAUAACGAUCAUAAUGCUAAGCUAACGGAUGGGUCAUGUCCAUCACAUCAUUCUCCUAAUGAUGUGAUCCCGUUCAUCAAAUGACAACAAAUGUCCAUUGUUAGGAAACUUAACCAUCUUUGAUUAACGAGCUAGUCAAGUAGAGGCAUACUAGGGACACUAUGUUUUGUCUAUGUAUUCACACAUGUACUAAGUUUCCGGUUAAUACAAUUCUAGCAUGAAUAAUAAACAUUUAUCAUGAAAUAAGGAAAUAAAUAAUAACUUUAUUAUUUCCUCUAGUGCAUAUUUCCUUCAGUCUCCCACUUGCACUAGAGUCAAUAAUCUAGAUUAAAAAGUAAUGAUUCUAACACCCAUGGAGUUUUGGUGCUGAUCAUGUUUUGCUCGUGGAAGAGGCUUAGUCAAUGGGUCUGCAACAUUCAGAUCCGUAUGUAUCUUUCAAAUCUCUAUGUCCCCCUCCGACACUUGAUGAUAGAUGGAAUUGAAGUGUCUUUUAAUGUGCUCGGUUCUCUUGUGAAAUCUGGAUUCCUUUGCCAAGGGAAUUGCACUAGUAUUGUCACAAAAGAUUUUCAUUGGACCCGAUGCACUAGGUAUGACACCUAGAUCAGAUAUGAACUUCUUCAUCUAAACUCCUUCAUUUGCUGCUUCCGAAGCAGCAAUGUACUCCGCUUCACACUUAGAUCCCGCCACAACACUCUGCUUGGAACUGCACCAACUGAUAGCUUCUCCAUUCAAUAAAAAUACGUAUCCAGAUUGCGACUUAGAGUCACACGGAUCAGUGUCAAAGCUUGCAUCAACGUAACCGUUUACGACGAGAUCUUCUUCACCUCCAUAAACAAGAAACAUAUCCUUAGUCCUUUUCAGGUAUUUGAGGAUGUUCUUGACCGCUGUCGAGUGCUCCACUCCGGGAUUACUUUGGUACCUCCCUGCUAUACUUAUAGUAAGACACACAUCAGGUCUGGUACACAGCAUUGCAUACAUGAUAGAACCUAUGGCUGAAGCAUAGGGAACGACUUUCAUUUUCUCUCUAUCUUCUGCAGUGGUCGGGCAUUGAGUCUGACUCAACUUCACACCUUGUAACACAGGUAAGAACCCUUUCUUUGACUGAUCCAUUUUGAACUUCUUAAAAACUUUAUCAAGGUAUGUGAUUUGUGAAAGUCCAAUUAAGCGUCUUGAUCUAUCUCUAUAGAUCUUUGAUGCCCAAUAUGUAAGCAGCUUCUCCGAGGUAUUUCAUUGAAAAACUCUUAUUCAGGUAUCCCUUUAUGCUAUCCAAAAAUUCUAUGUCAUUUCAAAUCAACAAUAUGUCAUCCACAUAUAAUAUUAGAAAUGCUACAGAGCUCCCACUCACUUUCUUGUAAAUACAGGCUUCUCCAAAAGUCUGUAUAAAACCAUAUGCUUUGAUCACACUAUCAAAGAGUUUAUUCCAACUCCGAGAGGCUUGCACCAGUCCAUAAAUGGAUCGCUGUAGCUUGCACACUUUGUUAGCACCCUUUGGAUGGACAAAACCCUCUGGUUGCAUCAUAUACAACUCUUCUUCCAGAAAUCCAUUCAGGAAUGUAGUUUUGACAUCCAUCUGCCAAAUUUCAUAAUCAUAAAAUGCGGCAAUGGCUAACAUGAUUCGGACAGACUUAAGCAUCGCUACGGGUGAGAAAGUCUCAUCAUAGUCAACUCCUUGAACUUGUCGAAAACCUUUCGCAACAAGUCGAGCUUUGUAGAUAGUAAAAUUACCGUCAGCGUCAGUUUCUUCUUGAAGAUCCAUUUAUUUUCUAUGGCUUGCCGAUCAUCGGGCAAGUCCACCAAAGUCCACACUUUGUUCUCAUACAUGGACCCCAUCUCAUAUUUCAUGGCCUCAAGCCAUUUCGCGGAAUCUGGGCUCAUCAUCGCUUCCUCAUAGUUCAUAGGUUCACCAUGGUCUAGUAACAUGACUUCCAGAACAGGAUUACCGUACCACUCUGGUGCACAUCUCACUCUAGAAGACCUACGAGGUUCGGUAGUAACUUGAUCCGAAGUUUCAUGAUCAACAUCAUUAGCUUCCUCACUAAUUGGUGUAGGAAUCACUGGAACUGAUUUCUGUGAUGAAGUACUUUCCAAUAAGGGAGAAGGUACAAUUACCUCAUCAAGUUCUACUUUCCUCCCACUCACUUCUUUCGAGAGAAACUCCUUUUUGUAGAAAGGAUCCAUUCUUAGCAACAAAUAUUUUGCCUUCGGAUCUGGGAUAGAAGGUGUACCCAACGGUUUCCUUUGGGUAUCCUAUGAAGACGCACUUCUCCAAUUUGGGUUCAAGCUUAUCAGGUUGAAGCUUUUUCACAUAAGCAUCACAACCCCAAACUUUAAGACACGACAACUUUGGUUUCUUGCCAAACCAUAGUUCAUAAGGUGUCGUCUCAACGGAUUUUGAUGGUGCCCUAUUUAAAGUGAAUGAAGCCAUCUCUAAAGCAUAACCCCAAAAUUAUAGCGGUAAAUCAGUAAGAGACAUCAUAAAUCGCACCAUAUCCAAUAAAGUACCGUUACAACGUUUAGACACACCAUUUCGCUAUGGUGUUCUAGGUGGCGUUAGUUGUGAAACUAUCCCAUGUUGUUUCGAAUGAAGACCAAACUCGUAACUCAAAUAUUGUCCUCCACGAUCAGAUCAUAGAAACUUUAUUUUCUGGUUAUGAUGAUUUUCCACUUCACUCUGAAAUUCUUUGAACUUUUCAAAUGUUUCAGACUUGUGCUUCAUUAAGUAGAUAUAACCAUAUCUGCUCAAAUCAUCUGUGAAGGUAAGAAAAUAAUGAUACCCGCCAUGAGCCUCAACAAUCAUUGGACCGCAUACAUCGGUAUGUAUUGUUUCCAAUAAGUCAGCAGCUCAUUCCAUUGUUCUGGAGAAUGGAGUUUUAUUCAUCUUGCCCACGAGGCACGGUUCGCAAGCACCAAGUGAUUCAUAAUUAAGUGAUUCCAAAAGUCCAUCAGCAUGGAGUUUCUUCAUGCGCUUUACACCGAUAUGACCCAAACGGCAGUGCCGCAAAUAAGUUGCACUAUCAUUAUCAACUUUGCAUCUUUUGGCUUCAAUAUUAUGAACAUGUGUAUCAUCACGAUCGAGAUUCAACAAAAAUGACCACUCAACAAGGGUGCAUGACGAUAAAAGAUAUUACUCAUAUAAAUAGAACAACCAUUAUUCUCUGAUUUAAAAGAAUAACCGUCUCGCAUCAAACAAGAUCUAGAUAUAAUGUUCAUGCUCAACGCUGGCAUGAAAUAACAAUUAUUUAGGUCUAAAACUAAUCCCGAAGGUAGAUGUAGAGGUAGCGUGCCGACGGCGGUCACAUCGACCUUGGAACCAUUUCACAUGCGCAUCAUCACCUUGUCCUUAGCCAAUCUUCGUUUAAUCCGUAUCCCCUGUUUCAAGUUGCAAUAUUGAGCAACAGAACCAGUAUCUAAUACCUAGGCGCUACUACGAGCAUUAGUAAGGUACACAUCAAUAACAUGUAUAUCAAAUAUACCUUUCACUUUGCCAUCCUUCUUAUCCGCCAAAUACUUGGGGCAGUUUUGCUUCCAGUGACCAGUCCCUUUGUAGUAGAAGCACUCAGUUUCAGGCUUAGGUCCAGACUUGGGUUUCUUCUCUUGAGCAGCAACUAUGUUGUCGUUCUUCUUGAAGUUCCCCUUCUUCCCUUUGCCCUUUUUCUUGAAACUAGUGGUCUUGUUGACCAUCAACACUUGAUGCUCCUUCUUGAUUUCUACCUCUGUGGCCUUUAGCAUUGCGAAGAGCUCGAGAAUAGUCUUGUUCACCCCUUGCAUAUUAUAUUUCAUCAUGAAGCCUUUAUAGCUUGAUGGUAGUGAUUGAAGAACUCUGUCAAUGACACUAUCAUCAGGAAGAUUAACUCCCAGCUGAGUCAAGUGGUUAUGGUACCCAGAGAUUCUAUGUGUUCACUAACAGAACUAUUCUCCUCCGUUUUGAAGCUGUAGAACUUGUUGGAGACUUCAUAUCUUUCAUCUCGGGCAUUUUCUUGGAAUAUUAACUUCAACUCUUGGAACAUCUCAUAUGCUCCAUGACGUUCAAAACGUCUUUGAAGUCCCGAUUCUAAGCUGUAAAGCAUGGCACACUGAACUAUCGAGUAGUCAUUAGCUUUGCUCUGCCAUACGUUCUUAACGUCAUUAGUAGCAUCUGCAGCAGGCCUGGCACCCAAUGGUGCUUCCAGGACGUAAUUCUUCUGUGCAACAAUAAGGAUAAUCCUCAAGUUAUGGACCUAGUCCGUGUAGUUGCUGUCAUCAUCUUUCAACUUAGCUUUCUCUAGGAACGCAUUAAAAUUAAAAGGAACGGUAGCACAGGCCAUUGAUCUACAAUAACAUAGACAUGCAAAAUAACUAUCAGGACUAAGUUCAUGAUAAAUUAAAGUUCAGUUAAUCAUAUUACUUAAGAACCCCCACUUAGAUAGACAUCCCUCUAGUCAUCUAAAUGAUCACGUGCUCCAAAUCAACUAAACCAUGUCCGAUCAGCAUGUGAGAUGGAGUAGUUUUCAAUGGUGAACAUCACUAUGUUGAUCAUAUCUACUAUAUGAUUCACGUUCGACCUUUCGGUCUCAGUGUUCUGAGGCCAUAUCUGCAUAUGCUAGGCUCAUCAAGUUUAACCCGAGAAUUUUGCGUGUGCAAAACUGGCUUGCACCCAUUGUUGUGAGCGUAGAGCUUAUCACACCUGAUCAUCACGUGGUGUCUCGACACGAUGAACUGUAGCAACGGUGCAUACUCUGGGAGAACACUUAUACCUUGAAAUUUAGUAAGGGAUCAUCUUAUAAUGCUACCGCCGUACUAAGCAAAAUAAUAUGCAUAAAAGAUAAACAUCACACGCAAUUAAAAUAUGUGACAUGAUAUGGCCCUCAUCAUCUUGUGCUCAAGAUCUCCAUCACCGAAACAUCGUCAUGAUCUCCAUCGUCACCGGCGCGACACCUUGAUCUAUGACUAUUGCUACCGUUUAGUGAUAAAGUAAAACAAUUACAUGGCGAUUGCAUUGCAUACAAUAAAGCGACAACCAUAUGGCUCCUGCCAAUUGCCGAUAACUUUGUUACAAAACAUGAUCAUCUCAUACAACAAUUUAUAUCACAUCAUGCCUUGACCAUAUCACAUCACAACAAGCCCUGCAAAAACAAGUUAGACGUCCUCUACUUUGGUGUUGCAAGUUUUACGUGGCUGCUACGGGCUUCUAGUAAGAACCAUUCUUACCUACGCAUCAAAACCACAAUGAUUUUUCAUCAAGUGUGCUAUUUUAACCUUCAACAAGGAUCAGACGUAGACAAAUUCGAUUCAACUAAAGUUGGAGAAACAGACACUAGCCAACCACCUAUGUGCAAAAGCACGUCGGUAGAACCAGUCUCAUGAACGCGGUCAUGUAAUGUCGGUCCGGGCUGCUUCAUCCAACAAUAGCGCCGAAUCAAAGUAAGACAUUGGUGGUAAGCAGUAAGACUAUUAUCGCCCACAACUCUUUGUGUUCUACUCGUGCAUAUAACAUCUACGCAUAGACCUGGCUCGGAUGCCAUUGUUGGGGAACACAGUAACUUUAAAAAAAUCCUACAAUCACGCAAAAUCUAUCUAGGUGAUGCAUAGCAACGAGAGGGGAAAGUGUGUCCACGUACCCUCAUAGACCAAAAGCGGAAGUGUUUAAAUAACGCGGUUGAUGUAGUCGAACUUCUUUGCGAUCCAACUGAUCAAGUACCAAAUGCACGGCACCUCCGUGUUAAGCACACAUUCAGCUUGAUGACGUCCUUCGUGCUCUUGAUCCAGUUGAGGACGAGGGUGAGUUCCAUCAGCACGACGGCGUGGCGACGGUGAUGAUGAUGCUACCGGCGCAGGGCUUCGCCUAAGCACUACGAUGGUAUGAUCGAGGUGCGUAACUAUGGAGGGGGGCACCGCACACGGUUGGGAGAGAAACUUGUGUGUUCUAGGGUGCCCCUGGCCCCGUAUAUAAAGGAGCAAGGGGGAGGCCGACCGGCCCCUAGGGCGCGCCCCAACAGGGGAGUCCUACUAGGACUACUAGUCCUAGUAGGAUUCCACCAAGAGGGGGACAGGAGGAAGGAAGGAGAGGAAGAGGGAAUAGGAAAGGGGGGCGCCACCCCAACUUCCCUAGUCCAAUUCGGACCAAGGGGGAGGGGGUGCGCAGCCUGCCCUGGCCGCCCCUCUCUCUCUCCACCAACGCCCAUGUGGCCCAUUAGUUCCCCGGGGGGUUCUGGUAACUCCUCUGGCACUCCGGUUUUACCCGAAACUUUUCAGAACACUUCAGGUGUCCGAAUAUAGCCAUCCAAUAUAUCAAUCUUUAUGUCUCGACCAUUUAGAAACUCCUCGCCACAUCCGUGAUCUCAUCCGGGACUCUGAACAAACUUCGGUCAUCAAAAACACAUAACUCAUAAUACAUGUCAUCAUCGAACGUUAAGCGUGCGGAUCCUACGGGUUUGAAAUCUAUGUAGACAUGACCGAGACUCAUCUCCGAUCAAUAACCAAUAGCGGAACCUGGAUGCUCAUAUUGGCUCCCACAUAUUCUACGAAGAUCUUUAUCGGUCAAACCGCAUAACAACAUACGUUGUUCCCUUUAUCAUCGGUAUGUUACUUGCCCGAGAUUCGAUCGUCGGUAUCAUCAUACCUAGUUCUAUCUCGUCACCGACAAGUCUCAUUACUCGUUCCGUAAUACUUCAUCCUGCAACUAACUCAUUAAUCAUGCUACUUGCAAGGCUUAUAGUGAUGAGCAUUACCGAGAGGGCCCAGAGAUACCUCUCCAAAACACAGAGUGACAAAUCCUAAUCUUGAUCUAUGCCAACCCAAAAAACACCUUCAGAAACACCUGUAGAGCACUUUUAUAAUCACCCUUUUACGUUGUAACAUUUUGUAGCACACAAAGUGUUCCUAUGGUAUCCGGGAGUUGCAUAAUCUCAUAGUCUGAGGAACAUGUAUAAGUCAUGAACAAAGCAGUAGCAAUGAAACUGUAACAAUCAUAAUGCUAAGCUAACGGAUGGGUUAUGUCCAUCACAUCAUUCUCCUAAUGAUGUGAUCCCGUUCAUCAAAUGACAACACAAGUCCAUGGUUAGGAAACUUAACCAUCUUUGAUUAACGAGCUAGUCAAGUAGAGGCAUACUAGGGACAUUAUGUUUUGUCUAUGUAUUCACACAUGUACCAAGUUUCUGGUUAAUACAUUUCUGGCAUGAAUAAUAAACAUUUAUCAUGAAAUAAGGAGAUAAAUAAUAACUUUAUUAUUGCCUCUAAGGCAUAUUUCCUUCACUAGGAUCUUUAUUAUUCGAACCGUUAUGACAACAUACGUAAUUCCCUUUGUCCAUCGUUAUGUUACUUGCCCAAGAUUCGAUCGUGGGUAUCUUCAUUCCUAAUUAAAUCUCGUUAUUGGCAAGUCUCUUUACUCAUUCCAUAAUACAUCAUCUUGCAACUAACUCAUUAGUAACUUUGCUUCCAAGGCUUCUUAUGAUGUGCAUUACCAAGAGGGCCCAGAGAUACCUCUCCGAUACACGGAGUGACAAAUCCUAAUCUCGAUCUAUGCCAACUCAACAAACACGUUUGGAGAUACCCGUAGAGCAUCUUUAUGAUCAACCAGUUAUGUUGUGACGUUUGAUAGUACACAAGGUAUUCCUCUAGUAUCCGGGAGUUGCAUAAUCUCAUAGUCGAAGGAAUAUGUAUUUGACAUGAAGAAAGCAAUAGCAAUAAACUGAACGCUCAAUAUGCUAAUCUAACGGAUGGGUCUUGUCCAUCACAUCAUUCUCCUAAUGAUGUGAUCCCGUUAUCAAAUGACAACACAUGUCUAUGGUUAGGAAACCUUAACCAUCUUCGAUCAAUGGGCUAGUCUAGUAGAGGCUUACUAGGGACACAAUAUUUGUUUAUGUAUUCACACAUGUGUUUAUGUUCCCGAUCAAUACAAUUCACACAUGUAGAGGCUUACUUCAUUAUUGCCUCUAGGGCAUAUUUCCUUCAGUCUCCCACUUGCACUAGAGUCAAUAAUCUAGUUCACAUUGUCAUGUGAUUAACACCCAUAGUUCACAUCGCCAUGUGACUAAUACACAAUGAGUUUACUAGAGUCAAUAAUCGAGUUCACAUCGCCAUGUGAUUAACACCCAAAGAGUACUAAGGUAUGAUCAUGUUUUGCUUGUGAGAGAGGUUUAGUCAACGGGUCUACCACAUUUAGAUCCGUAUGUAUUUUGUAAGUUUCUAUGUCUACAAUGCUCUACAUGGAGAUACUCUAGCUAAUUACUGACACUUUCAAUAUGUAUUCAGAUUGAGACUCGGGGUCAUCUAAAUCGGUGCCAAAGCUUGCAUCGGUGUAACCCUUGACGAUGAACUCUUUAUCACCUCCAUAAUUGAGAAACAUUUCCUUAUUCCUUUAAGGAUAAUUUUUACCGUUGUCUAGUAAUCCACUCCUGGAUCACUCUUGUACCCCCUUGCCAGACACGUGGCAAGGCACACAUUAGGUCUGGUACACAACAUGGCAUGCUUUAUAGAACCUAUGGCUGAGGCAUAGGGAAUGACUUUCAUUCUAUCUCUAUUUUUUCUGCCAUGGUCAGGCUUUGAGUCUUACUCAACUUCAUACCUUACAACUCACGCAAGAACUCCUUCUUUGACUGAUCCAUUUUGAACUUCUUCAAAACUUUAUCAAGGUAUGUGUUUUGUCGAAGUCCUAUUAAGUGUCUUGAUCUAUCUCUAUAGAUCUUGAUGCCCAAUAUGUAAGCAGCUUCACCGAGGUAUUUCUGUGAAAAACUCCUUUUAGACAACCCUUUAUGCUUUCCAGAAAAUUCUACAUCAUUUUCGAUCAACAAUAUCUCAUCUACAUAUACUUAUCAGGGAUGUUGUAGUGCUCCCACUCACUUUCUUGUAAAUACAAGCUUUAGCAUAAGUCUGUAUAAAACCAUAUGCUUUGGUCACCUCAUCAAUGCAUAUAUUCCAACACUGAGAUGCUUGCACCAGUCCAUAGAUGGAUUGCUGGAGCUUGCACACUUUGUUAGCACCUUUAGGAUCGACAAAACCUUCUGGUUGCACCAUAUACAACUCUUCUUUAAGAAAUCCAUUAAGAAAUGCAGUUUUGAUGUCCAUUUGCCAAAUGUCAUAAUUAUAAAAUGCGGCAAUUGCUAACAUGAUUCAGAUUGACUUAAGCAUCGCUACGGGUGAGAAGGUCUCAUUGUAGUCAACUCCUUAAUCUUGUUGAAAACCUUUGCGCGACAAGCCGAGUUUUGUAGAUGGUGACUUUACCAUUAGUGUUUGUCUUCUUCUUGAAGAUCCAUUUAUUCUCAAUGGCUUGCCGAUCAUCGGGCAAGUCCACCAAAGUCCUAAUUGUUCUCAUACAUGGAUCCUAUCUCAGAUUUCAUGGUCUCAAGCCAUUUAUCGGAAUCUGGGCUCAUCAUAGCUUCUUCAUAGUUCAUAGGUUUGCCAUGGUCUAAUAACAUGACUUCCAGGACAUGAUUACCGUACCACUCUGGUGCGGAACAUGCUCUGUUCGACCUAUGAGGUCUAGUAGUAACUUGAUCCGAAGUUUCCAUUCUUGGCAACAAAGAUCUUGCCUUCGGAUCUGUGGUAGAAGGUGUACCCAAUUGUUUCCUUAGGGUAUCCUAUGAAGAAGCACUUCUCCGAUUUGGGUUUGAGCUUAUCAGGCUAAAGCCUUUGGACAUAAGUGUCGCAACCCCAAACUUAAAGAAACAACAUCUUAGGUUUCUUGCCAAACCAUAAUUCAUACGGUGUCAUCUCAACGGAUUUAGACGGUGCCCUAUUUAACAUGAAUGCAGUUGUGCCUAAUGCAUAACCCCAAAAAUGAUAGUGGUAAAUCGACAAGAGACAUCAUAGAACGCACCAUAUCCAAUGAUGUACGGUUAUGAUGUUUGGACACACCAUUAAGCUGUGGUGUUCCAGGAGGCGUGAGUUGUGAUACAAUUCCACAUUGUUUUAAAUGAAGGCCAAACUCGUAACUCAAAUAUUCGCCUCCCCGAUCAGAUCAUAGAAACUUUAUUUCUUGUUACGAUGAUUCUCUACUUCACUCUGAAAUUCUUUGAACUUUUCAAAUGUUUCAGACUUGUGUUUCAUUAAGUAGAUAUACCCAUACCUACUCAAAUCAUCUGUGAUGGUCAGAAAAUAACGAUACCCACACGUGUUUCAACACUCAUCAGACCACAUACAUCGGUAUGUAUUAUUUCCAAUAAGUCAUUAGCUCGCUCCAUUGUUCCGGAUGAAGUUUUAGUCAUCUUGCCCAUGAGGCAUGGUCUGCAAGUAUCAAAUGGUUCAUAAUCAAGUGACUCCAAAAGUCCAUCUGCAUGGAGUUUCUUCAUGCGCUCUACACCAAUAUGACCUAAACGGCAGUGCCACAAGUAUGUUGCACUAUCAUUAUCAACUUUGCAUCUUUUGGCAUCGAUAUUAUGAAUAUGUGUAUCACUACAAUCGAGAUUCAAUAAACCAUUCACAUUGGGUGUAUGACCAUAGAAGGUUUUACCCAUGUAAACAAAACAACGGUUAUUCUUUUAACUUAAAUGAAUAACUGUAUUGCAAUAAACAUGAUCUAAUCAUAUUCAUGCUCAAUGCAAACACCAAAUAACAUUUAUUUAGGUUCAACACUAAUCCCGAAGGUAGAGUGUGCGAAGAUGAUCGUAUCAACCUUCGAACCAUUUCCAACACACAUCCUCACCUCGCCCUUAACUAGUCUUUGUUUAUUCUACAACUCCUAUUUCGAGUUACUAAUCUUAGCAACUGAACCGGUAUCAAAUACCCAGGGGCUACUACGAAUACUAGUAAGGUACACAUCAAUAACAUGUAUAUCAAAUAUACCUUUGUUCACCUUGCCAUCCUUCUUAUCCGCCAAGUAUUUGGGGUAGUUUCGCUUCUAGUGACCAUUCCCUUUGUAGUAGAAGCACUCAGUUUCAGGCUUAGCUCCAUCUUUGGGUUUCUUCACGGGAGUGACAACUUGCUUGCCAUUCUUCUUGAAGUUCCCUUUCUUCCCCUUGCCCUUUUCCUUGAAACUAGUGGCCUUGUUAACCAUCAACACUUGAUGCUCUUUCUUGAUUUCUACCUUCGCCAAUUUCAGCAUUGCGAAGAGCUCGAGAAUUGUUUUUGUCAUCCCUUGCAUAUUAUAGUUCAUCACAAAGUUCUAGUAGCUUGGUGAUAGUGACUAGAGAACUCUGUCGAUCACUAUCUUAUUUGGAAGAUUAACUCCCACUUGAUUCAAGCGAUUGUAGUACCCAGACAUUGUGAGUACAUGCUCACUGGCUGAGCUAUUCUCCUCCAUCUUGUAGGAAAUGUACUUGUCAGAGGUCUCAUACCUCUCGACAUGGGCAUGAGUCUGAAAUACCAAUUUCAGCUCUUGGAACAUCUCAUAUCCUCUGUGUCGUUCAAAACAUUUUUGAAGUCCCAGUUCUAAGUAGUCAUCAUAUCGAGCUUAAUUGCCAAACGUUCAAAAUGUCUGCAUCUGCUCCUGCAAUAAAUAUGUCACCUAGCGGUGCAUCAAGGACAUAAUUCUUGAGCACUACGUUGGUUUUCCCUUGAAGAGGAAAGGGUGAUGCAGCAAAGUAGCGCAAGUAUUUCCCUCAGUUUUUGAGAACCAAGGUAUCAAUCCAGUAGGAGGCUCAACGCAAAUCCCUCGUACCUACACAAACAAACAAGAACCUCGCAACCAACGCAAUAAAGGGGUUGUUAAUCCCUUCACUGUAACUUGCGAAAGUGAGAUCUCAUAGAGAUAAUAAGAUAAGAUAUUUUUUUUGGUAUUUUUAUGACAUAUAUUGAAAAGUAAAGAUUGCAAAUAAAGUAGAUCGGAAACUUUUAUGAUAAAAGAUAGACCCGGGGGCCAUAGGUUUCACUAGUGGCUUCUCUCAAGAUAGCAUAAGUAUUACGGUGGGUGAACAAAUUACUGUCGAGCAAUUGAUAGAAAACUGCAUAGUUAUAAGAAUAUCUAGGCAUGAUCAUGUAUAUAGGCAUCACGUCCGCGACAAGUAGAUCGAAACGAUUCUGCAUCUACUUCUAUUACUCCACACAUUGACCGACUCCUGCAUGCAUAUAGAGUAUUUAGUUCAUGAAGAACAGAGUAAUGCAUUAAGAAACAUGACAUGAUGUAGAGGGAUAAACUCAAGCAAUAUGAUAUAAACCCCAUCUUUUUAUCCUCGAUGGCAACAAUACAAUACGUGCCUUGCUGCCCCUGCUGUCACUGGGAAAGGACACCACAAGAUCGAACCCAAAGCUAAGCACUUCUCCCAUUGCAAGAAUGAUCAAUCUAGUAGGCCAAACCAAACUGAAAAUUCGAAGAGACUUGCAAAGAUAACCAAUCAUACAUAAAAGAAUUCAGAGGAGAUUCAAAUGUUUCCCACAGAUAAACCUGAUCAUAAACCCACAAUUCAUCGGAUUUCGACAAACACACCGCAAAAAAGAGUUACAUCGAAUGGAUCUCCAAGAAUAUCGAGGGGAACUUUGUAUUGAGAUUCAAAGAGAGAGAAGAAGCCAUCUAGAUAAUAACUAUGGACCCGAAGGUCUGUGGUAAACUACUCACAACUCAUCGGAGAGGCUAUGGUGUUGAUGUAGAAGCCCUCCAUGGUCGAUCCCCCUCCGUCGGAGCACCGGCGAAGGCUCCAAGAUGGGAUCUCGCGGAUACAGAAGGUUACGGCAGUGGAAAUAGUUUUUCGUGGUGCCCUUGGAUGUUUUCAGGGUACGUGGAUAUAUAUAGGCGAAGGAGGUAGGUCAGGGGAGCCACGAGGGGCCCACAAGGGUGGGGGGCACACCCUCCUGCCUUGUGGCCGCCUUGGCUGCUUCUUGACGUCCACUCCAAGUCUCAUGAAUUGUGUUCGUUCCAAAAAGAUUGCUCCCGAAGGUUUCAUUCCGUUUGGACUCCGUUUGAUAUUCCUUUUCUGUGAAACACUGAAAUAGGCAAAAAAAACAGCAAUUUGGGCUGGGCCUCCGGUUAGUAGGUUAGUCCCAAAAGAGAUGUAAAAGUGUAAAGUAAAGUCCAUAAACAUAUAAAACGGGUAAUAUAAUAGCAUGGAACAAUCAAAAAUUAUAGAUACGUUGGAGACGUUUCAAGCAUCCCCAAGCUUAAUUCCUGCUCGUCCUCGAGUAGGUAAAUGAUAAAAACAGAGUUUUUGAUGUGGAAUGCUACCUAGCAUAUUUCCCAAUGUAAUUUUUCUUUAUUGUGGAAUGAAUGUUCAGAUCCAAAUGAUUCAAAAUAAAAGUUCAUAUUGACAUAAGAAAUAGUAAUACUUCAAGCAUACUAACAAAGCAAUCAUGUCUUCUCAAAAUAACAUGGCUAAAUAAAGUUUAUCCCUACAAAAUCAUAUAGUUAGGCUAUGUUUCAUUUUCAUCACACAAAAUACUCCCAUCAAGCACAACCCCGGUUUCAUCCAAGCAAUUGGUUCAUAAUUUUUAACGCGCUUCAGCUUUUUUUCAACUCCCACGCAAUACAUGAGCGUGAGCCAUGGAUAUAACACUAUGGGUGGAAUAGAAUAUGAUAAUGGAGGUUGUGUGGAGAAGACAAAAAAGGAGAAAGUCUCAUAUUGACGAGGCUAAUCAAUGGGCUAUGUAGAUGCCCAUAAAUUGAUGUCAACAUGAGGAGUAGGGAUUGCCAUGCAACGGAUGCACUAGAGCUAUAAAUGUAUGAAAGCUCAACAAAAGAAACUAAGUGGGUGUGCAUCCAACUUGCUUGCUCACAAAGACCUAGGCCAUUUUGAGGAAGGCCAUCAUUGGAAUAUACAAGCCAAGUUCUAUAAUGAAAAAUUCCCACUAGUAUAUGAAAGUGACAACAUAAGAGACUUUCUACCAUGAAGACCAUGGUGCUAAUUUGAAGCACAAGUGUGGAAAAGGACAGUAACAUUGCCCCCCUUUUCUGGGCUUUUUUAUUUGGCCUUUCUUUUUUUCAUAAGGGACAAUGCUAUAAUAAUGAUGAUCAUCAAACUUCUAUUUAUUUACAACUCAAAAAUUACAACUCAAAACUAGAACAAGAUAUGACUCUAUAUGAAUGCCUCCGGUGGUGUACCGGGAUGGGCAAUGAAUCAAGAGCGACAUGUAUGAAAAAUUAUGCAUGGUGGCUUUGCCACAAAUACGAUGUCAACUACAUGAUCAUGCAAGGCAAUAUGACAAUGAUGAUGCGUGUCAUGAUAAACAGAACGGUGGAAAGUUGCAUGGCAAUAUAUCUCGGAAUGGCUAUGGAAAUGCCAUAAUAGGUAGGUAUGGUGGCUGUUUUGAGGAAGAUAUAAGUAGGUUUAUGUGUGAUAGAGUGUAUCGUAUCACGGGGUUUGGAUGCACCAACGAAGUUUGGACCAACUCUCAAGGUGAGAAAGGGCAAUGCACGGUACCGAAGAGGCUAGCAAUGGUGGAAAGGUAAGAGUGCGUAUAAUCCAUGGACUCACAUUAGUCAUAGAGAACUCAUAUACUUAUUGCAAAA